rnacentral:tRNA from 1 species
GCCUGGCUGGCUCAGUUGGUAGAGCAUGUGAUUCUUGACCUCGGGAUCGUGAGAUUGAGCCCCACGUUGGGUG